rnacentral:rRNA from 1 species
UACGUAGGGGGCAAGCGUUGUCUGGAUUUACUGGGCGUAAAGAGCGUGUAGGCGGCCAUACAGGUCCGUUGUGAAAACUGGAGGCUCAACUUCCAGACGUCGACGGAAACCGUGUGGCUAGAGUCCGGAAGAGGAGAGUGGAAUUCCUGGUGUAGCGGUGAAAUGCGCAGAUAUCAGGAAGAACACCAAUGGCGAAGGCAGCUCUCUGGGACGGUACUGACGCUGAGACGCGAAAGCGUGGGGAGCGAACAGG